rnacentral:tRNA from 1 species
CUGGACGUGGCUGAAUCAGUAAAGCAUCUCACUUACACCGAGAAGGCACCCAUGCAAAUUGGGUCGUCCUGA